AUGCCGGCCGCCGAGCUAAGGAGCCAGCUUAACACGCGCGUCAGCUACAUGUACGCCAUGGGAAUUCUAGACGAGUACUACCAAGAGCUUCAGCCGCCGCAGGACGAGGGCUUCGUCCCCGAGGUCAUCAACAUGUUCCUCCACCAGGCCGACAUGAUGCUCAAUGACAUCACCAGCCUUCUGAACCUGCCCGUCGUCGACUUCGAAAUGGUGGGCGAACUAGUGCACCAGCUCAAGGAGUACAGCGGCAGUUUCUUGAUCGUGCUCUUUUUGGCAUGUAUCAGCGUUGGUGCUAGGAAAGUUAACCUUGCAUGCGUGCACUUCCAGCAGUUCUAUGAGGGAAAAAGCAAAGAAAGGUGCCUCAUGGCAUUGAAUGUUCUUAGGAAUGAGUUCUACGAUGUGCGCGACAGGCUACAGACCAUUAUGCAGGUAGCAUCUUAUGUGCCUGUGUUGGCUUUUGACUUCCAACUUCUCAAAAGUAUCAAAAAUAUGUAG
rnacentral:rRNA from 1 species